rnacentral:rRNA from 1 species
CGGAGGAAAAGAAACCAACAGGGAUUGCCCUAGUAACGGCGAGUGAAGCGGCAACAGCUCAAAUUUGAAAUCUGGCGCAAGCCCGAGUUGUAAUUUGUAGAGGAUGUUUCUGGCGACGUGCCUUCCGAGUUCCCUGGAACGGGACGCCAUAGAGGGUGAGAGCCCCGUACGGUUGGAUGCCUAGCCUCUGUGAAACUCCUUCGACGAGUCGAGUAGUUUGGGAAUGCUGCUCUAAAUGGGAGGUAUACGUCUUCUAAAGCUAAAUACCGGCCAGAGACCGAUAGCGCACAAGUAGAGUGAUCGAAAGAUGAAAAGCACUUUGAAAAGAGGGUUAAAAAGUACGUGAAAUUGUUGAAAGGGAAGCGUUUAUGACCAGACUUGGGCAGGUUGAUCAUCCGUGGUUCUCCGCGGUGCACUCUGCCUGCCCAGGCCAGCAUCAGUUUUCCCCGGGGGAUAAAGGUUUCGGGAAUGUGGCUCCUCCGGGAGUGUUAUAGCCCGUUGCGUAAUACCCUGGGGUGGACUGAGGUUCGCGCAUUGCAAGGAUGCUGGCGUAAUGGUCAUCAACGACCCGUCUUGAAACACGGACCAAGGAGUCGUCUUCGUAUGCGAGUGUUCGGGUGUCAAACCCCUACGCGUAAUGAAAGUGAACGUAGGAGAGAGCUUCGGCGCAUCUCCGACCGAUCCUGAUGUUCUCGGAUGGAUUUGAGUAAGAGCAUACGGGGCCGGACCCGAAAGAAGGUGAACUAUGCCUGUAUAGGGUGAAGCCAGAGGAAACUCUGGUGGAGGCUCGCAGCGGUUCUGACGUGCAAAUCGAUCGUCAAAUAUGGGCAUGGGGGCGAAAGACUAAUCGAACCUUCUAGUAGCU